AGCAUAUGCUUGUCUCAAAGAUUAAGCCAUGCAUGUCUAAGUACAAGCCGCUAGUCGGCGAAACCGCGAAUGGCUCAAUAAAUCAGUUAUGGUUCCUUAGAUCUUUCCAUCCUACUUGGAUAACUGUGGUAAUUCUAGAGCUAAUACAUGCAUUCAAGCCCCGACUCCCGGGUUUCGGCUCGGGCUGGAGGGGUGCUUUUAUUAGACCAAAACCAAUCGAAGCUUCGGCUUCGUUUCCUUUGGUGACUCUGAAUAACUUUCCGCUGAUCGCACGGCCUCGAGCCGGCGACGCAUCUUUCAAAUGUCUGCCUUAUCAACUUUCGAUGGUAGGUUAUGCGCCUACCAUGGUUGCAACGGGUAACGGGGAAUCGGGGUUCGAUUCCGGAGAGGGAGCCUGAGAAACGGCUACCACAUCCAAGGAAGGCAGCAGGCGCGCAAAUUACCCAUUCCCGGCACGGGGAGGUAGUGACGAAAAAUAACGAUACGGGACUCUUCCGAGGCUCCGUGAUUGGAAUGAGUACACUUUAAAACCUUUAACGAGGAUCUAU
rnacentral:rRNA from 1 species